rnacentral:rRNA from 1 species
UACGGGGGGGGCAAGCGUUGUUCGGAAUCACUGGGCGUAAAGGGCGUGUAGGUGGUCCGCUGCGUCGGCGCUGAAUCUCCCGGCUUAACCUGGAGGCGCGUGCCGAUACGAGCAGACUUGAGGCAGGGAGAGGGUAGCGGGAAUUCCGGGUGUGAGUGGUGGAUAUGCGUAGAUAUCCGGAGGAACGCCUGAGCGAAAGCGGCUGACCUGCCCUGGCCUGACACUGAGA